CCUACGGGUGGCAGCAGUGAGGAAUAUUGGUCAAUGGACGAGAGCCUGAACCAGCCAAGUCGCGUGAAGGAUGACUGUCCUAUGGGUUGUAAACUUCUUUUAUAUGGGAAUAAAAUGCGCCACGUGUGGGAUUUUGUAUGUACCCUAUGAAUAAGGAUCGGCUAACUCCGUGCCAGCAGCCGCGGUAAUACGGAGGAUCCGAGCGUUAUCCGGAUUUAUUGGGUUUAAAGGGGGCGUAGGUGGAUUGUUAAGUCAGGUGUGAAAGUUUGCGGCUCAACCGUAAAAUUGCAGUUGAAACUGGUAGUCUUGAGUACGGUAGAGGUGGGCGGAAUGCGUGGUGUAGCGGUGAAAUGCUUAGAUAUCACGAAGAACUCCGAUUGCGAAGGCAGCUCACUGGACUGCAACUGACACUGAGGCUCGAAAGUGUGGGUAUCAAACAGGAUUGGAUACCCCAGUAGUC
rnacentral:rRNA from 1 species